CAGCACCUCAAGUGGUCAGGAUGAUUAUUGGGCCUAAAGCAUCCGUAGCCGGCGCUGUAAGUUUUCGGUUAAAUCUGUACGCUCAACGUACAGGCUGCCGGGAAUACUGCAGCGCUAGGGAGUGGGAGAGGUAGACGGUACUCGGUAGGAAGGGGUAAAAUCCUUUGAUCUAUAGAUGACCACCUGUGGCGAAGGCGGUCUACCAGAACACGUCCGACGGUGAGGGAUGAAAGCUGGGGGAGCAAACCGGAUUAGAUACCCGAGUAGUCC
rnacentral:rRNA from 1 species